GCUCAGGAUGAACGCUAGCUACAGGCUUAACACAUGCAAGUCGAGGGGCAGCAUGGUCUUAGCUUGCUAAGGCUGAUGGCGACCGGCGCACGGGUGAGUAACACGUAUCCAACCUGCCGUCUACUCUUGGCCAGCCUUCUGAAAGGAAGAUUAAUCCAGGAUGGGAUCAUGAGUUCACAUGUCCGCAUGAUUAAAGGUAUUUUCCGGUAGACGAUGGGGAUGCGUUCCAUUAGAUAGUAGGCGGGGUAACGGCCCACCUAGUCAACGAUGGAUAGGGGUUCUGAGAGGAAGGUCCCCCACAUUGGAACUGAGACACGGUCCAAACUCCUACGGGAGGCAGCAGUGAGGAAUAUUGGUCAAUGGGCGAUGGCCUGAACCAGCCAAGUA
rnacentral:rRNA from 1 species